rnacentral:rRNA from 1 species
UAUGUUAAUAGCAUAUUCAUUUGACGUUAGCUGCAGAAGAAGCACCGGCUAACUCCGUGCCAGCAGCCGCGGUAAUACGGAGGGUGCGAGCGUUAAUCGGAAUUACUGGGCGUAAAGCGCAUGCAGGUGGUUUGUUAAGUCAGAUGUGAAAGCCCGGGGCUCAACCUCGGAAUUGCAUUUGAAACUGGCAAACUAGAGUACUGUAGAGGGGGUAGAAUUUCAGGUGUAGCGGUGAAAUGCGUAGAGAUCUGAAGGAAUACCGGUGGCGAAGGCGGCCCCCUGGACAGAUACUGACACUCAGAUGCGAAAGCGUGGGGAGCAAACAGGAUUAGAUACCCUGGUAG